rnacentral:tRNA from 11 species
GACUUGGUAGCUCAGUUGGUAGAGCAAAUGACUCUUAAUCAUUGGGUCGAGGGUUCGAGCCCCUCCCAGGUCACAA